rnacentral:misc_RNA from 1 species
UUUCCGUAGGUGAACCUGCGGAAGGAUCAUUAUUAAAUGAAACACUUCUGGCUUUAUGCUGUUGUGUUGGCCCUUUGGGCAAUGUGCACACGGCUCUGGUCACUUGUUUCUUCUGUUCCACCUGUGCACUGCCUGUAGACACGCUGUGUCUAUGAUAUUUGUUAACACACAACAAUGUUAGUUGGCAUGUUAUAUAUAAUAAUAAAAUAUACAACUUUCAACAACGGAUCUCUUGGCUCUC